ACAUUACGGUGCAGAGCGGCGCCUCCCGCUUACUUAUACAGGGUGCGGGGCGCACAGACCCGCUGGCAGCCGUGCGCAUGCGCGCUCGCCCCUACAUAACGGGGCGCGCACGCGCGUAGGGUUCAGUCUGAGGCGAGCCGAGCGGAGGUGCUUAGCGCGGCCCGGGAGUGCUCGGCCUUCCCGGACGGACGGCUGAUGGAGAGAAGCGGACCUGCCGGUGCUACUGGAGGUGGCAGAGCUCGGCCCUACCUUCACGGCUGCGAGCUGCCAGCCCUGCGGCGUGCGGUGCGGUGGGCUGCUGCUUCUCCUUCGGCGUCGUUCGUUCCUCUUGGGCGCUGGUGAAGGUGAGCCUGGCAAAGCAAAGGGGAUGCUGUAGUGGAUGAUGACAGUACUCGCAGCCGGAGGGCUUUUUGUGUUUUUAUGCGCAAUAAAAGAUGAAUUACUUGAAA